UACGUAGGGUGCGAGCGUUGUCCGGAAUUAUUGGGCGUAAAGAGCUCGUAGGCGGUGUGUCACGUCGGCCGUGAAAACCUGCAGCUCAACUGUGGGCGUGCGGUCGAUACGGGCAUCACUGGAGUUCGGCAGGGGAGACUGGAAUUCCAGGUGUAGCGGUGAAAUGCGUAGAUAUCGGGAGGAACACCUGUGGCGAAGGCGGCCCCCUGGUCGGAUACUGACGCUGAGACGCGAAAGCGUGGGGAGCAAACAGG
rnacentral:rRNA from 1 species